CCUACGGGGCGCAGCAGUAGGGAAUCUUUCACAAUGGGCGAAAGCCUGAUGGAGCAACGCCGCGUGCAGCAUGAAGGCCUUCGGGUUGUAAACUGCUUUUAUAAGCGAGAAAUAUGAUGGUAACUUAUGAAUAAGGAUCGGCUAACUACGUGCCAGCAGCCGCGGUCAUACGUAGGAUCCGAGCAUUAUCCGGAGUGACUGGGUGUAAAGAGUUGCGUAGGUGGCAUAAUAAGUAGCUAGUGAAAUCUGGUGGCUCAACCAUUCAGACUAUUAGCUAAACUGUUAAGCUCGAGACCGUUAGGGGUAACUGGAAUUUCUAGUGUAGGAGUGAAAUCCGUAGAUAUUAGAAGGAACACCAAUAGCGUAGGCAGGUUGCUGGGACGGUUCUGACACUAAGGCACGAAAGCGUAGGGAGCAAACGGGAUUAGAUACCCGAGUAGUC
rnacentral:rRNA from 1 species